UGAAACCAACAAUUGUAGAGAGGAAGUCAAAUGCAUAACUUCUACUUCUUGUACUUGUGGAAUCAGUUAAAGCUUGAGGGUUCAAUUUUGUUCUUGACCUCAAAUAGCUUAAAAGUACAUUAAAUUGUGAAUUUUCUAUGAACCAUUCAAAAAGACUUGGUGAUAUUUUGUGAUAAAAAUAUUAUAAAAUCAGACAUGAAGCUUGAUCAAAUAAAUGUAUUCAUGGAAGAGGCUCAGAGUUACUUAAGAGAUAUUAACUUGAUGAUAUUUUACAUUUAAUAAUUUAAGAAUAAAAUCACACAUUUAUGGGAAGAAACAUUAUCUUCCUUCCAAAGCUAAAAGGCUCCCAUCCAUCCAUCCAUUCAUUCAAACAUUCAUUCAGAAUUUAUUUAUCAUAGGCCUAUUAUAUGCCAGAAAGUCUUUUAGGAAUUGGGAAUAUAGAAAUAAGCAUAACAAACUCCUAUCUUUAUAUUUGAAGAUAUGUUACUUUUUAAUAAAGAGAGACAGAUAAUAUAAACUUAAAAAAUAUAGAAUAUGUCAGGUGAUGAUAAAUGCUAUGAAGGAAAACAAAGUAAGGAAGACAAAGAGUGAAAGGUAUUGGUAUUUUCUACAGAGUGGUCAGAAAAGGCCUCUCCAGGAAAAUAACAUUUGAGCAGAGGCUUUGAAAGGAGUGAGGGAAGAGUUAUGCAGAUAUCUGGGGGAAGACUGUUCCAGAGUGGUUGAGUCAGAGUGAGAGAAUGACAGUGGCAGGAGCUGAGGUUAGUGAGGCAGUGGGGGGUUAGCAAGUUGAAGGCAGAUAAUAUGGGGCUCUGUGGGCCAUCAUGAGGACUUCAGCUUUUACCUCGGCAUGAGAUGGGAAACCACUGGAGAAUCUAGAGGAGAAAGGGAUGAUCUGCCCUUCAACAGGAUCAUCCAGGCUACUCCGGUGAAUAUAGACCAUAUGAGGGCAAAGAUUGGAAGCUAGGUGAGCAGUUAGAAGGCUACUGCAAUAGCUAUGUGAGAGAGAUGAACUAGGAGAGUAGCAGUGGAGAUCUGAGAUACGGCAAAGUCUAGAUAUAACACAAAGGAAUAGCCGACAGAAUUUGCUUUUGGAUUGGCUGUAUUGUAGGAGAGAAAAAAUAGGGUGCAUUUUUGGGUUGAGCAAAGAGAAGAAUGAAGAUUCCUUGUACUGAGAUGGGGAAAACUGCAGGAGGAGUGGGUCUGAAAGAGGCAAGUUGGUUGCCAUGUUGUGAGCAGCCCCCUUGAAAGGCCCAUGUGAUGAUGAAUUGAAACCUCCUGUCAACAGCCAUGUGAGUGACCUAGGAAGCAGAUCCUGCAGCCCAGUCAUGCUUCAGAUGAGGCAUAUCUGAGGCACAGAGAGGUUAAGUUGGGGACUGAAGUGUGGCUCCAGAAUCUAAGUUUCUAACUGCCAUGCUAUGGUAAGUGAGAUUGGUAAGUGCACAUGAGGAACUCGUGAGCCUCAAAGUCAUUCAUCAAUGCAGCAUUCAAUGAUGGCUUACAUGAAGGUAUAGAGGUAGGCUCAUCACUUUUACCCAAACUCAAAAAACUGAAUUUUUAUUAAGAAAGAAGAAAGCAUGGAAGAUGGGCACCACCCUUCAUAAAUGGUCAUUUAAUUGGUUUUGGGUGCAUCCCAGGAAAUCAAAUUUCAAAAGCUCCCUAGGUGAUUCCAAUGUGCAGUUAGUGUUAACAAAUACUGUCGUAAGAAUUUUUCUUUUUAUAUUAAUUUAAAUAUCCAUUAAAAGAUAAGAACAGUUGAAACCACCUUUUCAAAAUGAUGACAGUAAGAUAAAUCUGAUAUAGUUGGCUCCAUCUUGCUUCUGACCUCCUUUGGUCAUUCCUGGAUGUAGGCCAAGGUAACUGUGGGAGGAAUUUAGUUUAUAGUUUAACUUUGAAGCAAGGAUGAUAAUAGUCUCUCCCUAAAACUACUCCCCUCCUUAUUCAGGGGCUGAAAAUACCUUUAUCAAACUAAUAAAAGGCCGCAAGAUUAGGAUUAUGGGAGGGGCCUGAGUUCUGCUAAAAUGUGGGCAUAGUUUUCAUAAUCCCUUUCUGCUCAGGAGUCAUGUGGCCAGAGGUCACAAUGUUUGUGACUUCCCCAAUUGCUCCUAUAGAUAACAUCACAUUGUGGAACCUAAGAUUGUUCUUUUGAGAUGUUUUUCAGACUGACCCCACUGGACUCAUGACUCAUGGACUCAGCUGGUCCUGUGGCCCUACCCAGAAGUGGACUCAGCACACGAGGACCAUUUCCCACACUCCUGUGAUUUCAUCCCCAAUUAUUCAGCAGUACCCUUUCCAUAGCCCCUUGCCCACCAAGUUGUCCAUAAAAACCCUAGCCUCUGAGCUUUUGGGGAGAUGGAGUUGAGUAAUAACUCCAUCUACUGCAUGGCUGGCCUUGUGUCAAUUAAACUUUUUUCUUUACUGCAAUAACAUGGUCUCAGUGAACUGAUUUUGUUCAUGCAGGAGGCAGGAAAAGCCCCUUGGGUGAUUACACAGUGGUUCUCAAAGUAUGGACCUCCAACCAGCAGCAUCAGCAGCAUCUGGAUACUUGCUAGAAAUGGAAAUUCUCUGGCCCUAUUCCAGGCCUUCCAAGUUGGAAACUUUGUGAUGGGGCCCAGCACUCUGUGUUUUAACAAGCCCUCUAGCCUUAAGGAAAACAACUCUGAGGACUUUUGUCACGGACUUGAAAUUCUCAUCUGUGCUUGGACAAGACUCUGAAACAUACCAACUGUGUAUUUUCCUGCCUUUGGUAAAUCUGGAGCUAUUAACUGAUUCUAAAGAACAUUUGACUUAAAAAGACUAUGGAAAGCCCAAAGAAUAAAGAUAAUGAAGACCCCAGUGGAUUAUUAUUAGCAAAUGAAAACUGGAUAUCAAGAAGGGCAAAAUCUUCAACCUUAUCAGCAGAAAGAGUUUAUGUAAAAAUAUACCACAUAGAAUAACUAAAAAAAUAAGCAAGUGAUACCUUAUCUGAGCUCAAAAUAUCUGUUUCUUUGCAAAUGGAUAAAGGAUUUAUUAUAUUAUAGCACCUUGAGGACAGAGACUUUAUGUUUCUAACUACCCAUCCCAGCAUCAUCUAGUUCAUUCCUAUGCUGAACAGCCCCUAACACAUUGCCUAAAUAAAUACUAACAUUAUAUGUGUGCAAUGAAGUAUUCUUUUGCUAAAAGCAAAACUUUCAUAUGGUCUUACAAUAAGCCACUUGUAAGACUAGUUUUAAAUAAUUACUGAUACAAAUGCUGCCACUGCCCCCAAAGAAACCUGAAUAAAAUUAUGUUAGGCUGCACUAAUUUCAGUGUCAAGCUAUUUAACUCUGCUGAUAGUCAUUUUUUUAAAGAUCUUUUGAUCUUUAAAUUGAGAGAGUUGAACUAAAUAAUCUUUUAGAUAUCUUCUAGUUUAAUAUUCUAAGAUUCUAGUAAAUAUAUUGUGUUUGGUCAGGUGUGGUGGCUCAUGCCUGUAAUCCCAACAUUUUCAGAGGCUG
rnacentral:lncRNA from 1 species